GCCCGAGUGGUGGAAUGGCAGACACGCGGGACUCAAAAUCCCGUGCCGGCGACGGCGUGAGAGUUCGAAUCUCUCCUCGGGCA
rnacentral:tRNA from 1 species